rnacentral:sRNA from 1 species
AAUCUAAUCAAAUCCACACACCGUGAACUAUCCAUGUUGGCCAUCUGGAUGUAUGUAUAUAUGUCCAGAUUGGGAUAUGUACAUGUCGUAAGGCGUGUGCAUGUCUCAGUCGCCGCUCUCUGUGACCGCAUAUUAAUUAUUUAAUAAUUAUUAUGCCCAUGGUAGUAGUGGCGUCGGUCUCUUAUACUAACCAACCAACACCAAACCUAACCUAAAUUAAAUUCGAGGGCUCAGCUUAGAGCUGACUCUCACCAACCAAGACAACUCUCAACAACGGAUAUCUUGGCUCUCAGAUCGAUGAAGAACGCAGCGAAAUGCGAUACGUAGUGUGAAUUGCAGAAAUACGUGAAUCAUCGAAUUUUUGAACGCAAAUUGCGCUCGAGGCUUCGGCCAAGAGCAUGUCUGCCUCAGCGUCGGGUUAAUACUCAUAUAUCUCAUAUGUAUUAUAAUAAUAAUAUGUAUGUGUCUGUAUGGAUCUGGCCGUCUCGGUUUGCCUAGUAAUUAACCUAAACCGGGUUGGCUGAAGUGCAGAUGUCAAACCAUGGACCGUUAAUCGGGCCUCUACUGGGUAGGCAACUUGUUUGCUAUAUUGCUUUAGUAGAUGGCUUCGGGUACUGCGUUUGGCAAAAAGCAGGAGUAUCUGACAUUGUCAGGUACAACCCAAUUUAUUUCGACCUGAGCUCAGGCAAGA